AUAUAUAUAAGUAUAUUUCUUUUUUCUAUAUUUAUAUAAAUGUAUCUUUGAAACAUCUCUCUCAGUCUCAUCUCAUCUCUCUCGAUUAGGGCACUCCAACCCAAACUGCUCGCGGCCUUGUUUGGUUUAGGUGUAGAAAGAAAGAUUUUGAUUUCUCUCCGAGAAGCAGAAUGGCAGCAAAGGGUCGGAAAGGGUCUUCGGCCAUAAGAACAAGAAGCGCUAAGCCGAAACCGAAAACUAUCAGCAAGGGAAGGGUUGUGAGACCGCGAAAACAAGGGAAGGCAAUACCAUUGGCCGACUCAGCCUCUAUCAGUCCCUCACCGAUCAAAAGCUGUGAGCACCUCGACUUCGACAGACUUCCUAAGGGUGCCCCAUCAAGUGGCUUCUCUACCCCAAAGGCUCGAAAGUAUCGAAUACCGAAGAUCAAGACCUGCCCGCCAGCACCGAAGAAGCAAAGGGUGGAUGUUCCCGAUCAGUCCUUGACUAGAAGGCAGAUCACCUUCUUUGCUCCUCCCGAUCUCGAGGUAUUCUUCAUGUUUGCACUCGGCAACAUGUCGGACUAAACCAGGAUAGAUUGAUCAGAGGCAGCACAAAGUGUCAGCGGUGUUAGCUUAGUUUUUCACAAAGCCGAUUAAUUAUAAGGGGGGUCGAAGGUAUACAUAUACGCGGGCUAUCAGUACAUAGGUGAAUGUGCUAUAUAUGCAUAUCCACCAGACGCACCUCCUAGCUACAUUGUUCGUCAGUCUGGUCAGACGAAAAUGUCCAUCGAUGGAACGAAUUGUCUGAUUUUAGAACAACAUAUGGCAGCUGGGUAGUUCGAGACUAAUUCUUAAUGUAACUCUCUAGCUAGCUAGGUUUUUUGAACUGCUUUAUUAUCGGGGUUAAUUAGAAUAAGGAAAAGAAUAUUAGAGGAUAAUACAAUUGUGAUCAUCAUUAUAAGCUUUAUUAGCAACUAGUCAGCCUGCAGUGUUUCAACUUGUGUAUAUGCACUUGUUUGUAGGGUUAACUCAUGAUUGUAUUUUGCUGGAAAUUAAGCUAUAGCAGGUCCCAUCUACAACUAAUUAAGCUCCAA